rnacentral:rRNA from 1 species
UACGGAAGGCAGCAGUGGGGAAUAUUGCACAAUGGGCGAAAGCCUGAUGCAGCUAUGCCGCGUGUAUGAAGAAGGCCUUAGGGUUGUAAAGUACUUUCAUCGGGGAGGAAAAAACAAAACUAAUAAUUUUAUUUCUUGACGUUACCCGAAAAAGAAGCACCGGCUAACUCCGUGCCAGCAGCCGCGGUAAUACGGAGGGUGCUAGCGUUAAUCAGAAUUACUGGGCGUAAAGAGCACGUAGGUGGUUUUUUUAAAGUCAGAUGUGAAAUCCCUGGGCUUAACCUGGAACUGCAUUUUGAAACUGAAAUACUAGAGUAUCGUAGAGGGAGGUAGAAUUCUAGGUGUAGCGGUGAAAUGCGUAGAUAUCUGGAGGAAUACCUGUGGCGAAAGCGGCCUCCUAAACGAAUACUGACACUGAGGGUGCGAAAGCGUGGGGAGCAAACAGGGAUUAGAUA